rnacentral:rRNA from 1 species
GGUUAAGCGACUAAGCGUACACGGUGGAUGCCCUGGCAGUCAGAGGCGAUGAAGGACGUGCUAAUCUGCGAAAAGCGUCGGUAAGGUGAUAUGAACCGUUAUAACCGGCGAUGUCCGAAUGGGGAAACCCAGUGCAAUUCGUUGCACUAUCGUUAACUGAAUACAUAGGUUAACGAGGCGAACCGGGGAACUGAAACAUCUAAGUACCCCGAGGAAAAGAAAUCAACCGAGAUUCCCCAGUAGCGGCGAGCGAACGGGGAGCAGCCCAGAGUCUGAAUCAGCUUGUGUGUUAGUGGAACGGUCUGGAAAGUCCGACGGUACAGGGUGAUAGUCCCGUACACCAAAAUGCACAGGCUGUGAACUCGAAGAGUAGGGCGGGACACGUGGUAUCCUGUCUGAAUAUGGGGACCAUCCUCCAAGGCUAAAUACUCCUGACUGACCGAUAGUGAACCAGUACCGUGAGGGAAAGGCGAAAAGAACCCCGGCGAGGGAGUGAAAAAGAACCUGAAACCGUGUACGUACAAGCAGUGGGAGCACCUUCGGGUGUGACUGCGUACCUUUGUAUAAUGGGUCAGCGACUUAUAUUCUGUAGCAAGGUUAACCGUAUAGGGGAGCCGCAGGGAAACCGAGUCUUAACUGGGCGUUAAGUUGCAGGGUAUAGACCCGAAACCCGGUGAUCUAGCCAUGGGCAGGUUGAAGGUUGGGUAACACUAACUGGAGGACCGAACCGACUAAUGUUGAAAAAUUAGCGGAUGACUUGUGGCUGGGGUGAAAGGCCAAUCAAACCGGGAGAUAGCUGGUUCUCCCGAAAGCUAUUUAGGUAGCGCCUCGUGAAUUCAUCUUCGGGGUAGAGCACUGUUUCGGCUAGGGGUCAUCCCGACUUACCAACCCGAUGCAAACUACGAAUACCGAAGAAUGUUAUCACGGGAGACACACGGCGGGUGCUAACGUCCGUCGUGAAGAGGGAAACAACCCAGACCGCCAGCUAAGGUCCCAAAGUCAUGGUUAAGUGGGAAACGAUGUGGGAAGGCACAGACAGCCAGGAUGUUGGCUUAGAAGCAGCCAUCAUUUAAAGAAAGCGUAAUAGCUCACUGGUCGAGUCGGCCUGCGCGGAAGAUGUAACGGGGCUAAACCAUGCACCGAAGCUGCGGCAGCGACACUAUGUGUUGUUGGGUAGGGAGCGUUCUGUAAGCCUGCGAAGGUGUGCUGUGAGGCAUGCUGGAGGUAUCAGAAGUGCGAAUGCUGACAUAAGUAACGAUAAAGCGGGUGAAAAGCCCGCUCGCCGGAAGACCAAGGGUUCCUGUCCAACGUUAAUCGGGGCAGGGUGAGUCGACCCUAAGGCGAGGCCGAAAGGCGUAGUCGAUGGGAAACAGGUUAAUAUUCCUGUACUUGGUGUUACUGCGAAGGGGGACGGAGAAGGCUAUGUUAGCCGGGCGACGGUUGUCCCGGUUUAAGCAUGUAGGCUGAUUAUCCAGGCAAAUCCGGAUAAUCAAGGCUGAGGUGUGAUGACGAGGCACUACGGUGCUGAAGUAACAAAUGCCCUGCUUCCAGGAAAAGCCUCUAAGCAUCAGGUAACAUCAAAUCGUACCCCAAACCGACACAGGUGGUCAGGUAGAGAAUACCAAGGCGCUUGAGAGAACUCGGGUGAAGGAACUAGGCAAAAUGGUGCCGUAACUUCGGGAGAAGGCACGCUGGUGUGUAGGUGAAGCCCCUGCGGGUGGAGCUGAGACCAGUCGAAGAUACCAGCUGGCUGCAACUGUUUAUUAAAAACACAGCACUGUGCAAACACGAAAGUGGACGUAUACGGUGUGACGCCUGCCCGGUGCCGGAAGGUUAAUUGAUGGGGUUAUCCGUAAGGAGAAGCUCUUGAUCGAAGCCCCGGUAAACGGCGGCCGUAACUAUAACGGUCCUAAGGUAGCGAAAUUCCUUGUCGGGUAAGUUCCGACCUGCACGAAUGGCGUAAUGAUGGCCAGGCUGUCUCCACCCGAGACUCAGUGAAAUUGAACUCGCUGUGAAGAUGCAGUGUACCCGCGGCAAGACGGAAAGACCCCGUGAACCUUUACUAUAGCUUGACACUGAACAUUGAGCCUUGAUGUGUAGGAUAGGUGGGAGGCUUUGAAGCGUGGACGCCAGUCUGCGUGGAGCCAACCUUGAAAUACCACCCUUUAAUGUUUGAUGUUCUAACGUUGGCCCCUGACCGGGGUUGCGGACAGUGUCUGGUGGGUAGUUUGACUGGGGCGGUCUCCUCCCAAAGCGUAACGGAGGAGCACGAAGGUUAGCUAAUCCUGGUCGGACAUCAGGAGGUUAGUGCAAUGGCAUAAGCUAGCUUGACUGCGAGCGUGACGGCGCGAGCAGGUGCGAAAGCAGGUCAUAGUGAUCCGGUGGUUCUGAAUGGAAGGGCCAUCGCUCAACGGAUAAAAGGUACUCCGGGGAUAACAGGCUGAUACCGCCCAAGAGUUCAUAUCGACGGCGGUGUUUGGCACCUCGAUGUCGGCUCAUCACAUCCUGGGGCUGAAGUAGGUCCCAAGGGUAUGGCUGUUCGCCAUUUAAAGUGGUACGCGAGCUGGGUUUAGAACGUCGUGAGACAGUUCGGUCCCUAUCUGCCGUGGGCGCUGGAGAAUUGAGGGGGCUGCUCCUAGUACGAGAGGACCGGAGUGGACGCAUCACUGGUGUUCGGGUUGUCAUGCCAAUGGCACUGCCCGGUAGCUAAAUGCGGAAGAGAUAAGUGCUGAAAGCAUCUAAGCACGAAACUUGCCCCGAGAUGAGUUCUCCUGAGACUUUAAGUCUCCUGAAGGAACGUUGAAGACGACGACGUUGAUAGGCCGGGUGUGUAAGCGCAGCGAUGCGUUGAGCUAACCGGUACUAAUGAACCGUGAGGCUUAACCUU